rnacentral:rRNA from 1 species
AUACGUAGGUGACAAGCGUUAUCCGGAUUUACUGGGCGUAAAGGGCGUGUAGGCGGUCUUGCAAGUCAGAAGUGAAAUUCCUGAGCUCAACUCGGGCGCUGCUUCUGAAACUGCAGGACUUGAGUGCUGGAGGGGAUAGCGGAAUUCCUAGUGGAGCGGUAAAAUGCGCAGAUAUUAGGAAGAACACCGGUGGCGAAGGCGGCUAUCUGGACAGAAACUGACGCUGAGGCGCGAAAGGGUGGGGAGAAAACAGGAUUAGAUGCCCUGGUAGUCCACGCCGUAAACGAUGAAUACUAGGUGUAGGGGGUAUCGGCUCCCUCUGUGCCGCAGUUAACACAAUAAGUAUUCCGCCUGGGGAGUACGGCCGCAAGGUUGAAACUCAAAUGAAUUGACGGGG